rnacentral:rRNA from 1 species
UACGUAGGGUGCGAGCGUUGUCCGGAAUUAUUGGGCGUAAAGAGCUCGUAGGCGGUCUGUCGCGUCUGCUGUGAAAACCCGAGGCUCAACCUCGGGCCUGCAGUGGGUACGGGCAGACUAGAGUGCGGUAGGGGAGAAUGGAAUUCCUGGUGUAGCGGUGGAAUGCGCAGAUAUCAGGAGGAUCACCGAUGGCGAAGGCAGUUCUCUGGGCCGUAACUGACGCUGAGGAGCGAAAGCGUGGGGAGCGAACAGG